UUAAAGAGAGUCCAAGAGUGCUUGCAAAUUGUCUAGGAAAGGAGGGAAGCGGUAAUGAGGGCCUGAGCGAUCGGCAUUUCCUACGCGCUCGGAACAUCGCGAAAAACGGCGCCAAUCCGGACAUAAUCCUACACAACCCCAACCAGCUAGCGCCAGAUAUUCGUUGCCCGGACGAAAUAAAGGCGUGGACCGACGCGCAUUAAGGUGGUGACCUAAACCCGAGCUUUUGUUACGCCCGCGAAGACGUCGCUGCCUUAACAGUGGUCUGCAGCACGCGACUCACGGAGUGCCUCGGCAUCUGAGUGCUCAGGGCGUCGGCCUGUGGGCUCCCCAUUCGACCCUUCUUUAAACACGGACCAAGUAGUCUGACAUGUGUGCGAGUCAACGGUUGAGUAAACCCGUAAGGCGCGAGGAAGCUGAUUGGCUGCAUCCCUCACGGGUGCACAAACGACCGACCUUGAUCUUAUGAGAAGGGUUCGAGUGUGACCAUGCCUGUCGGGACCCGAAAGUUGGUGAACUAUGCCUGAGGUGGGCGAAGCCAGAGGAAAUUCUGGUGGAGGCUCGCAGCCAUACUGACGUGCAAAUCGUUCGUCUGACAUGGGUCUAACAAAUAACAGGGGCGAAAGUGGAGACCUCAAUCGACCAUCUAGUUAAGCGAUGGCCUCCUCCGCUACCGAAGCUUAACCUAUCAGAAUACAGCUGGAGCUACGAGAAAUACUGAAUUACUCCUCAAAUCGAGAAGUUAAAAGCCACAAUAGCAUUUAGAAGGUCGUACUCGAAGGGACGCAAUGGUCCUCGCACCUAUUCUUCAUUCACUUUAAAAGGGUAGACGGCCGAGAGUGACUAGCCUUUGUUUGAACCAGCCAUUACCCACGGAGAAUUGAGAGCUCCCAACAGUGGGCCAUAUUUUUGGUACCCGCAGACUGUGCGAAAUGCGAAGGUCCGAUGAACCGGAAGUACGGGUUCCCACGGCUGUAACCAAAAAAAACUGCCCGGACUAACAUAGAACCCACAAAGGGUGUUUGUCGAUUAAUACAGCAGGACGGUGGUCAAGGAAGUCGAAAUCCGCUUAGGAGUGUCUAACAACUCACCUGCCGAAACAACAAGCCCCGAAAAUGAAUGGCGCUGAAUUCUGCUAGCCAUAUCGCCCGCAACCUCACAUAGAAUAACAGAAACACCCGUCAAGGCCGGCAGAGACUCCAAGGACCUCAGCAUAUAAGAUACAAGAACAUAGAAGGCCGCACCCCAGGCGAGUUGCUGCAAAAAACUUAUGGCGCAGAGCCCGGGGCGGAACCAACCCUCGGCUCCCAUCUCUGCGUGUGCAGAAUCUUUGGAAUGGAUAAGUACAAAUACUUCUCAAAUAGAGAAACUUUUCGAAGACCCGGCCCGAAAAGCGAGAGAGAAACGGUUCCAAUUGUGAAUCAGGCUCUCCACAAGAUUGGCACAGUAGGUUAGUCGAAUCCUAUAGAGUCACGGGCGAUGAAAACGUCUAUCGAUAAGCGCUUAUGAGCGAACUUCGAAAGGGGAUCUGGUUAAAAUUCCGGAACCCGGACGUGGCGGUUGACGGUAACGUUAGGGAGUCCGGAUACGUCGGCGGUAAUUCCGUAAAGAGUUAUCUUUUCUGCUUAACAGCCUGCCCACCCUGUGAACGGCUCAGCCGGAGGUAAUGUCCAAAACUCUGGCUGGAAGAGCACCGCACGUCGCUUGGUGUCCGGUGCAUCCCCGCCGGCCCUUGAAAAUCUGGAGGGCCGAGUGCCGCUCAUGCCUGGUCGUACUCAUAACCGCUUCAGGUCUCCAAGGUGAACUGCCUCUGGUCGAUGGAACGAUGUAGGCGAGGGAAGUCGGAAAAAUGGAUCCGUAACUUUGGGAAAGGGAUUGGCUCUGGGGGCUGGGCUCGGGGGUCUCAGUUCCGAGCCCGUCGAGUGUUGGCGGGGUGCUUGAGCUACUAACGUGGCGAGAGUGAACCGCCUAGUGUCGGCCGGGGGACGGACUGGGAACGGCUAUUUCGGGAGCUUUCCCCGAGCGUCGAACAGCCAACUCAGAAACGGCACGGACAAGGGAGAAAAUCAGACUGUUUAAUUAACACAAAGCAUUGCGAUUGUCCCUGCGGAUGCUAACGCAAUGUUGUUUCUGCCCAGUGCUCUGAUUGUCAAAGUGAAGAAAUUAAACAAAGCGCGGGUAAACGGCGAGAGUAACUAUGACUCUCUUAAGGUAGACCAAUGCCUCGUCAUCUAAUUAGUGACGCGCCAGAAUGGAUUAACGAGAUUACAACUGUCCCUGUCUACUAUACAGAGAAACCACAGCCAAGGGAAAGGGCUUGGCAAAAUCAGCAGGGAAAGAAGACACUGUUGAGAUUGACUCUAGUCCAACUUUGUGAAAUGACUUGAGACGGGUAGUCUAAUACAGUACACAUUUACACGCUGCAGAGCUUCAUGCACGUAGAAAAAUACCAUACUUUUAAGUUUAUUUUACUUACUCCGUGUAUCGGAGGCGGGGUAACAUCCCCUUCUUUUAGACCCAAGACUAGCUUUGGCGGGUCGAUCCUGGCGGAGGACAUUGUCAGUUGGGGGGUUUGGCUGGGGUGGCACUUCUGUUAAAAGAUAACGCUGGUGUCCUAAGAUGAGAUCAAAGAGAACAGAAAUCUAGUGUGGAAAAAAAGGGUAAAAGCUCGUUUGAUUUUUAUUUUUCAGUUACGGAAUGAACCGAUGAAAGCGUGGGUUUUACCUUAUCGAUCCUUUAGACCUUUCGAAUUUGAAGCUAGAGGUAUCAGAAAAGUUACCACAGGGAUUAAUGGCUUGUGGCAGCCAAGGUUUCAUAGCGACGUUGCUUUUUUUUGAUCCUUCUAUUCGGGCUCUUUUUCUGUGAUCCUUCCUUAUCAUUGUGAAGCAUGAAUUCACAAGUGUUUGGAUUGCUUCCCCUUACCCACAUAGAACGUGAGCUUGUUUUAGACCGUCGUGAGACAUGUUAUUUUUACCCUACUGAUGCCCGCUUCGCAAUAGUAAUUCAACCAAGUACGAGAGGAACCGUUGAUUUACACAAUUGGUCAUCUUUUGCGCUCUCCGUGAAUUAAUGCUCAUUCACGCACUGGCGACGAACUCUUACCCGGCGCGUAUUGGAUAUAAAAAUGGACCCACUGAACUUCUCUAAGUCAGAAUCUGGGGUAAAAGCGACGCAUGCACCUGCCACCCGAUUGCUGACCCUUAGUAGGAGCUUCGGCUCCCAAAGGCCAGUGUCGUUGGU
rnacentral:rRNA from 1 species